AAAUUGAAGAGUUUGAUCAUGGCUCAGAUUGAACGCUGGCGGCAGGCCUAACACAUGCAAGUCGAACGGUAGCACAGAGAGCUUGCUCUCGGGUGACGAGUGGCGGACGGGUGAGUAAUGUCUGGGAAACUGCCUGAUGGAGGGGGAUAACUACUGGAAACGGUGGCUAAUACCGCAUAACGUCGCAAGACCAAAGAGGGGGACCUUCGGGCCUCUUGCCAUCAGAUGUGCCCAGAUGGGAUUAGCUAGUUGGUGAGGUAACGGCUCACCAAGGCGACGAUCCCUAGCUGGUCUGAGAGGAUGACCAGCCACACUGGAACUGAGACACGGUCCAGACUCCUACGGGAGGCAGCAGUGGGGAAUAUUGCACAAUGGGCGCAAGCCUGAUGCAGCCAUGCCGCGUGUAUGAAGAAGGCCUUCGGGUUGUAAAGUACUUUCAGCGGGGAGGAAGGUGUUGUGGUUAAUAACCACAGCAAUUGACGUUACCCGCAGAAGAAGCACCGGCUAACUCCGUGCCAGCAGCCGCGGUAAUACGGAGGGUGCAAGCGUUAAUCGGAAUUACUGGGCGUAAAGCGCACGCAGGCGGUCUGUCAAGUCGGAUGUGAAAUCCCCGGGCUCAACCUGGGAACUGCAUUCGAAACUGGCAGGCUUGAGUCUUGUAGAGGGGGGUAGAAUUCCAGGUGUAGCGGUGAAAUGCGUAGAGAUCUGGAGGAAUACCGGUGGCGAAGGCGGCCCCCUGGACAAAGACUGACGCUCAGGUGCGAAAGCGUGGGGAGCAAACAGGAUUAGAUACCCUGGUAGUCCACGCCGUAAACGAUGUCUACUUGGAGGUUGUGCCCUUGAGGCGUGGCUUCCGGAGCUAACGCGUUAAGUAGACCGCCUGGGGAGUACGGCCGCAAGGUUAAAACUCAAAUGAAUUGACGGGGGCCCGCACAAGCGGUGGAGCAUGUGGUUUAAUUCGAUGCAACGCGAAGAACCUUACCUGGUCUUGACAUCCACAGAAGAAUCCAGAGAUGGAUUUGUGCCUUCGGGAACUGUGAGACAGGUGCUGCAUGGCUGUCGUCAGCUCGUGUUGUGAAAUGUUGGGUUAAGUCCCGCAACGAGCGCAACCCUUAUCCUUUGUUGCCAGCGGUCCGGCCGGGAACUCAAAGGAGACUGCCAGUGAUAAACUGGAGGAAGGUGGGGAUGACGUCAAGUCAUCAUGGCCCUUACGACCAGGGCUACACACGUGCUACAAUGGCGCAUACAAAGAGAAGCGACCUCGCGAGAGCAAGCGGACCUCAUAAAGUGCGUCGUAGUCCGGAUUGGAGUCUGCAACUCGACUCCAUGAAGUCGGAAUCGCUAGUAAUCGUGGAUCAGAAUGCCACGGUGAAUACGUUCCCGGGCCUUGUACACACCGCCCGUCACACCAUGGGAGUGGGUUGCAAAAGAAGUAGGUAGCUUAACCUUCGGGAGGGCGCUUACCACUUUGUGAUUCAUGACUGGGGUGAAGUCGUAACAAGGUAACCGUAGGGGAACCUGCGGUUGGAUCACCUCCUUA
rnacentral:rRNA from 1 species